rnacentral:rRNA from 1 species
UCGCGGCCUAUCAGCUUGUUGGUGAGGUAACGGCUCACCAAGGCGAUGACGGGUAGCUGAUCUCAGCGGAUGAUCAGUCACACGGGGACUGAGACACGGCCCCGACUCCUACGGGAGGCAGCAGUGGGGAAUUUUGGACAAUGGGCGAAAGCCUGAUCCAGCGACGCCGCGUACGGGAGGAAGCCCCUCGGGGUGUAAACCGUUGUCAGGGGGGAAGAAAAGGUUCGGGCGAAUACCCCGGACUCUUGACGGUACCUCCAGAGGAAGCGCCGGCUAACUCCGUGCCAGCAGCCGCGGUAAUACGGAGGGCGCAAGCGUUGUCCGGAAUUACUGGGCGUAAAGGGGGCGCAGGCGGCUUGCUAAGUCCUAUGUGAAAGCCCGCGGCUCAACCGCGGAAAUGCACAGGAUACUGGCGAGCUCGAGACGGGUAGAGGCGAGUGGAAUUCCCGGUGUAGCGGUGGAAUGCGUAGAUAUCGGGAAGAACACCAGUGGCGAAGGCGACUCGCUGGGCCCGUUCUGACGCUCAGGCCCGAAAGCGUGGGGAGCAAACAGGAUUAGAUACCCUGGUAGUCCACGCCGUAAACGAUGGGCACUAGGUGCUGGGAAGUGUGACCUUUUCGGUGCCGUAGCUAACGCGUUAAGUGCCCCGCCUGGGGAGUACGG